rnacentral:lncRNA from 10 species
CUGGCCGUGUUAGGCUUCGCUGGCGUAAAGUCCCCGGGAGCUUUGCCCCUCACGGAGAACGUUAGUUGACCCUGAUGGGGACCCGUAGGGUAAAGGUUUUGUUUUUGUUUUUUUUUACGGAAAAGGUUGUGGUUAGGCCCCUUGGAAAGUUGCGACAAAACUCGAGUUAGACAAGGAAGGUCGGAACUAAGUGGCCACAGCAACAAUGCACCAGCAAGCAGGGAGCGUGAUAGGAAGAGCUAAAGAGGAAUCGGGAAACCCUGGGGUCUCACCGCCGUCGCCCAGGCCGGAUGGAGUGCAGUGGCGCGAUCACGGCUCACUGCAGCCUCGACUUCCCAGGCUCAGAGAUGGGUUUCACCAUGUUUCCCAGCCUUGUCUCAAACUCCUGACCUCAAGUGAUCCGCCGUCUUGGGUCUUCGAAAGUGCUGGGACAGCAGGAGUGAGCCACCGCAUCUGGCCCGGAAAGUGUUUUGGAGCGUAGAAAAAUGCAAAUUAUAGGGCUGCCUUCAAGGAUCCCGAAGGACCCACAGAUUUGCCGCAUCAGGCUCCUAUGCACGCCGGUAAUUUGAUGUGUUGAGAUGCACUGCCCAGUGCGUUGUUUUUACUGGAGGAGCUUGUGUGCGGAGCUCCUUGCUAGUGUAUGUGUUGGGAUGGGAGAGAAGUGCGGGAGAACUAUGAGAUAAUGCCCCCUGAUCCUCAGGGUCUUAGGAGGUAUGGUCGGAGAGGCUAAGCUAAAGUAUGAAAGCCGUGUGUAGGCCCUUCUGUGUAGUGCAGAAAAGGUAGAGGUAUGUGAUUUGAAAGAGUAGGGAUGACAUGGAGGAUGCGACUCCUGGUUGGAUCUAUAAACUAAUGUCUUUGGAACGAAAGCACAUGCAACCUUUUGAAAAUGGAUGGGUGAUAAUGAAAGACCAUUCCAGAGAAGAAACACCAUGGUGCAAAGGCUCAAGAGGCAUACUGGAAGUACAAUGAAGAGAGCAAUCUAACUGAAAUGGGAAAAAAAGAAACAAAGAGUAAAAAGUAAGAUUUGAUGAGAAAGAUGGAAUCGAUUUUUAAAUUUUUUUAUCUACACAACAAAAUUUAUUAUCUUAACCAUUUUUGAGUGAAUAAUUCGUUAGUAUUAAGUAUAUUUACCUCGUGCGGCCAGUCUCCAGAAUUCUUUUCAUCUUGCAAAACAAACCCCGAACCCAUUAAACAAUUUCUCAUUCGCCAUUUUCCAGCUAGCCUUGGUAACCUCCAUUCUAGUUCUGUCUCUGUGAAUUUGACUGUGUACCCCGUGUAAGUGGUAUCAUACAGUAUUUGUAUUUUUGUGACUGGCAUAUUUCACAUAGCAUAAUCUCCUUGUGGUUUAUCCAUCUUGUAGCAUGUGUCAGAAUUUCCUUCCCUUUUAAGACUAAAUAAUAUUCCAUUGUGUGUA